UACGUAGGCAGCGAGCGUUGUUCGGAGUUACUGGGCGUAAAGGGUGUGAUAGGCGGUUGUUUAAGUUUUGGUGUGAAAUCUCCCGGCUCAACUCGGGAGGGUGCGCCGAAUACUGAAUGACUUCGAGUACGGGAGAGGUGAGGUGGAAUUCCUGGUGUAGCGGUGAAAUGCGUAGAUAUCAGGAGGAACACCGGUGGUGUAGACGGCUCACCUGGACCGUAACUGACGCUGAGACACGAAAGCGUGGGUAGCAAACAGG
rnacentral:rRNA from 1 species